GGGGAUAUGGUGUAGUGGGAUCACGUCCGCUUUGCAUGCGGAAGGUCGUGGGUUCAAACCCCACUGUCUCCA